UCCUGCGUGUAUUUAGAGGCUUUCUAUUGUGAAUGCAGGAUUGAAAUUCUCACAGAUACUGGAAGUUGGCGUGAUGGUGAUUCCUAUUUCCUGUGUGUAUUUAAGGUCUAGGCUUGCCAACUUUACAGAGCGAUGCCGUACUGCGGAGAUGUGUGCAUACCAUGCAGCAGCCCAUGUGAUGUCACCUGCCCUCCUCUCUUGGCCAGAGCCUGCAAUGAGCUGUGUGUGACAUCCUGCAAUGACUCCAGAGCCAUCAUAUACCCACCACCUGUGGUCCUAACUUUCCCUGGGCCAAUUCUCUGCUCCUGCCCACAGGAAAGCAUUGUGUGUAGCACUGGACCACUGGGCAUUGGUGUCCCCUUUGGUCCUGGGGAUUGCUUUGGUUACAGGAGCUAUGGAAAUCCUGUUGGUUUAAGGGGCUCCCUUCUUUUGGGGGAAGGGUAUGGUUCUGGGAGUGCAUGCAAUUACAACAGGUCUUACAGUUCUGCAUGCCCACCGCUGGGAAGAGGGUUUUGUAGCGCGUUCUCUUACAGCACUUCCAGCAGAGCUGGCUCAGGACCGUGCUAAAAACAUCAGGGAAGUUCACUGCAGUGAGCAACCAGGGUAUGGAAAACACAGCAGAAAAUCAUGAAUAGGAAAUUGGUUUGAGCCUGAGCAGUGCUCGGAUCUGUCUACUCUGAAUGGAGCCAGCAGAAGCUGGGUGCUCUCAGACGUAUCUGAAAAACAUUCUUAUAGGUGGAGGUGGGUAAAGUGUAUAACAUGUGCACAGCCUAUAAGCAUCUUUUCCAUUUAACACUCCAAGCUUUUGGUACUUUCUGUUUGUCUUCCCAUCUCAGCAUUUAUCCCACUCUUCUUGGGGAUGGGAUGGAUGUUCAGCUGUGGGGGUGAAUCUUGUGUACUGCAAGCGUUUUCUGGGGUGCCCUCAAUGCCCUUCAGGUUAACUUAAUGUGUCCUGGAAAAUUGUAUGUUGUUUUGUGGUCUUCCAUAAAAUAAUAGAAUAAUAAUGGAAACCUCAUAAGUCUUAAUCUCUAAAAUGAUUACAUUGUAAAAGAGUCAAAAUAGAACAUAUAACUGCAAUUAUACAGCUAUAAUAAGGAACGUAGGAUUACUUAUAUCAAAUGCAUGCCCUUGUAUCACAAACUUUGCUUUUAGUACUUGAAACUCCUGAAGUGCCUGUUUUUCAUCCCCUUUGUUAUUACAAGUGUUAAUUCUGUUUAUCACAUCCAUUAAAAGCCAAACUGCACAGCACUGACCUGAUGUUUGUUCCACCUCAGUUUUCCUCCCCUUACUUCUGUCUUGAUGAAAGUAUUUCUCUUCCUUCCAAGCUCCUUGAUUUCUCUGCCAGAUCACGUUGUAAGUCUUUAGUAAUUACCAAAAGCAGUUUCGUUCCAGCCAGAAAUAUUCUGUUUCUUUGGAAAGAAGAGCUUUGGACCUUCAGUUUUAGCUAAAAAAAAAGAGAAUCUCUUAAGAGCAAGGGAUUGCCUUUCAGUCAUACCCACUGAACACUUCAAAGCACUGCUUUCUGCUCUUUGGGGCCAGCUCUAUGCAGGAGUUUUCCCAGGAAAUGUACUGGUUCUAAAAGCUUUAUAGGGCAAAAACUUUACUCACCGUGUUUACCUAUUGGAGAGCUGAAUUUGAUUACACAUGAUGACUAGUUUUUGAUAGGAACCAUGUCCCUGCCCUAGUGUGAGCUGUAAUCUGUGCUUGUUUGGCUGUAUAGGGUGGGAUAGAAGUGCUUUCUUGUCUUUGUUGCUUAUCAAAGAUAAAGACAUUACCUGAACCUGCUAUGGCAACUGCAACACAGUAAAUGUAUCAGGUCUAAACCCAAGACAAGGCAAAGAUGACCAAAUUAAUGCAUAGCAAUCUACAACAGAUUCCUCAUGAAUCUGGGGAGAGAUUUUUAAGAUGUGUGUGCAGGGAUGAGGGCAGCCCACCCUCUGUCUGAGCCUUUCCAGUGCAGUGAGGCAAUAGAAUUCCUUCCUCUCAUACCUAGAACUAGUUGGCUUUGUUACUGCUUCCUGAGAGCACU